AUAGUGAAAUAUUGAUAACAAAAUCCAAAUUCGGAUUCACAGCAAAGAUACCAAAUUUGACCGUUUUCUCUCUGAAUGGUGACAGCUCAGUCCUCUUGGAUUGUAGCCAGCUCUGCAUGUCAUUCCAGAAAAGCUUCACUGAUUCACAAUAAAAAAAAAACACAUGUUCCAAACUUUCAAUUUCACUUUCACAAACUACACAGUUAUUCACAUCAAAGUUAAACCUCAGUCUCAAGAAUUCGUUCGUUGGGUAAAUCUCAUUCAGGAUUUUGAAGUUCACCUCUUUCACCUUAUGAGGGAGAGGGAAUGAAAUAUAUCUUCUCCGUAUUAUCUUAAACUCUUCAGCUUCAAAUUCCUUGAAAACAUAAUUUCUCCUGACUGGGAAUAAAUGAAUUGUGCAACUUGUUUAAUUUAGAUGGAGUUGUUUUGAUUCUCACACUGGUCUGUACCUCACUGUGUGUGUUGUCAACAUUAGAAACAGUCAGAAAUCACAUUUAAAAGAUGGUUCAACUUUACCCUCCUACAACUUCACUGCAUCAUUAUAAUCUCAUAUAAAAACAAACAAACAAGCAGAAUCAUGUCAGUUGUUGAU